AGAGUUUGAUCCUGGCUCAGGAUGAACGCUGGCGGCGUGCCUAAUACAUGCAAGUCGAGCGAACGGACGAGAAGCUUGCUUCUCUGAUGUUAGCGGCGGACGGGUGAGUAACAUGUGGAUAACCUACCUAUAAGACUGGGAUAACUUCGGGAAACCGGAGCUAAUACCGGAUAAUAUUUUGAACCGCAUGGUUCAAAAGUGAAAGACGGUCUUGCUGUCACUUAUAGAUGGAUCCGCGCUGCAUUAGCUAGUUGGUAAGGUAACGGCUUACCAAGGCAACGAUGCAUAGCCGACCUGAGAGGGUGAUCGGCCACACUGGAACUGAGACACGGUCCAGACUCCUACGGGAGGCAGCAGUAGGGAAUCUUCCGCAAUGGGCGAAAGCCUGACGGAGCAACGCCGCGUGAGUGAUGAAGGUCUUCGGAUCGUAAAACUCUGUUAUUAGGGAAGAACAUAUGUGUAAGUAACUGUGCACAUCUUGACGGUACCUAAUCAGAAAGCCACGGCUAACUACGUGCCAGCAGCCGCGGUAAUACGUAGGUGGCAAGCGUUAUCCGGAAUUAUUGGGCGUAAAGCGCGCGUAGGCGGUUUUUUAAGUCUGAUGUGAAAGCCCACGGCUCAACCGUGGAGGGUCAUUGGAAACUGGAAAACUUGAGUGCAGAAGAGGAAAGUGGAAUUCCAUGUGUAGCGGUGAAAUGCGCAGAGAUAUGGAGGAACACCAGUGGCGAAGGCGACUUUCUGGUCUGUAACUGACGCUGAUGUGCGAAAGCGUGGGGAUCAAACAGGAUUAGAUACCCUGGUAGUCCACGCCGUAAACGAUGAGUGCUAAGUGUUAGGGGGUUUCCGCCCCUUAGUGCUGCAGCUAACGCAUUAAGCACUCCGCCUGGGGAGUACGACCGCAAGGUUGAAACUCAAAGGAAUUGACGGGGACCCGCACAAGCGGUGGAGCAUGUGGUUUAAUUCGAAGCAACGCGAAGAACCUUACCAAAUCUUGACAUCCUUUGACAACUCUAGAGAUAGAGCCUUCCCCUUCGGGGGACAAAGUGACAGGUGGUGCAUGGUUGUCGUCAGCUCGUGUCGUGAGAUGUUGGGUUAAGUCCCGCAACGAGCGCAACCCUUAAGCUUAGUUGCCAUCAUUAAGUUGGGCACUCUAAGUUGACUGCCGGUGACAAACCGGAGGAAGGUGGGGAUGACGUCAAAUCAUCAUGCCCCUUAUGAUUUGGGCUACACACGUGCUACAAUGGACAAUACAAAGGGCAGCGAAACCGCGAGGUCAAGCAAAUCCCAUAAAGUUGUUCUCAGUUCGGAUUGUAGUCUGCAACUCGACUACAUGAAGCUGGAAUCGCUAGUAAUCGUAGAUCAGCAUGCUACGGUGAAUACGUUCCCGGGUCUUGUACACACCGCCCGUCACACCACGAGAGUUUGUAACACCCGAAGCCGGUGGAGUAACCUUUUAGGAGCUAGCCGUCGAAGGUGGGACAAAUGAUUGGGGUGAAGUCGUAACAAGGUAGCCGUAUCGGAAGGUGCGGCUGGAUCACCU
rnacentral:rRNA from 1 species